rnacentral:sRNA from 1 species
GCCGGGCGUGGUGGUGCACGCCUGUAAUUCCAGUGGCUUGGGGGCCUGAGGCAGGAGAAUCAAAGUUCAAAGUCAGUCUCAGCAAAGGUGAGGCACUUAGCAAUUCAAUGAGAUCCUGCCUCUA